UACGGCGGUUAUGGCGGGAAGGAAACACUCGGUUACAUUCCGAACCCGGAAGUUAAGCUUCUCUGCGCCGAUGGUACUGCACUCGGGAGGGUGUGGGAGAGUAGGUCGCCGCCGGAC
rnacentral:rRNA from 1 species